rnacentral:lncRNA from 1 species
CUCCUUUUCUAUUUCCUACUUGUGAAGAAAGACAUUUAUUUGCAAAUCUCAGCACUAUUAUACACUUGCUCUAAUGUACUGAAUGAAGGUGAUAGAAAAUCACGUUUUCUUUCUAAAGCAGAAGACAGUAAGCGGAUCGAGUCCAGUUCUUCAUCCACGUCCUCAAAGCAGCAGUGCAAGAACUGGGGCGGUGGCAAAUGCAGUGAGACCAGCAGAGAGUGGCCCUCUGGACCCCUGCACAGGCUCACUAGGUAAAGAGAAUGAAUUUCAGAAAUAUCUGUUAAAUCGGGCAAGACAUCUUGGGAAGAGCGAACCUGGUCCUUUGGAAUCUGCACAUAUUUUCACCCGGAAACACGCAAAGGUGGGAUAACUUCUUUAAAAGAAUGAAUCUGAAUCAAAAUGCAUCUCCAAAGAAAUUCUAGAUUACUUUGUAGUGUUUUGUGCAAUGUGUCUGUAUUUCUUUCACAGCA